rnacentral:lncRNA from 1 species
UAGGCUUGGGAAAAUCUGGCAAACACUUAAGAAGGGAGGGGCUGUGAUGACAUAAAAAGAUCUUUUCAGGCGGAGAUUUAAUGAAACCACAUGUAGAGAUGAUGUCAGUGUUAUUUCUGCAGUUUUUAUGGAAAAGACUUCAAUAUUUGUCUUUUUCUGUUGCAUAAAUGGUGUGUAAUGCAUCAGGAAAAGAAGGGAAAUAGAUCUUAAAGCCAUUUCAAUCUCAAACAAACCCAAAGUCUUUCGCUUUACAAAACGUUUUAAGCCCAAAUCUACAUGAGAAUCAAUAAUUUAUCUGCACAAAGGCAAGCUAACAGGCACAUUUCUGCAGAUCUGCCCAAAAAGCCCAUUAAAGCGACAGUCUAAUCAGGCCCAGGAGACGUCAGCUCUGCUUCUGCAGCUUGCCUAUCACCUCAUUCAUUAGCACGCAUUCUGCGACCACAUGCUACAGCUGUGUUCCUGCCUCUCCCAGUGAUAACAUAUCCAGCAGGCUUUGUCCCAGGCUGUGCUCGACGCGUCGCAUAAAGCAGUUUAUGUAUGACUACAGCGAUUUCUUGUGCCCCACAGUGAUGCUUGUGGACGGCCCGUCAGCUGGUGUAAAUGCACCGCUCACAGACUAACGCAGGCUUUCACGUUUCAGUGGGAAAUGGACGUAUGGGAGAGAAGGGGAUUUGCAUAAUUAGGUGCUGCGCUGUGCUUUAUAUAUGUAGAAGUUAAGGAAGACACAGUGGGGUUCUUAAAGCAUAAUGAGCUUAGUCUAAAGACGUCUUUGCAAUCUGAACAGGGAUGAUUUUUGACAUUAGCUGACACUUGGCUGGUUAGGAGUAAGAAUUAAUCAAUGAGCGGGAUAGUUUAUAAUGGGAUCGAGCUGCUCAAUUAAGAAUGUAUAUAUAAACUGUUGUAUUUAAACCAAAAGAAAUGAGAAUAAGAAUGAGUUUGAGCUUCUAGUCAUAGGUCUGCAUUAUUUAUUUAUUUAUUCGGAAUCAGGGAGACCUGCAUUAAGACAAUAAGUGUAUAGAUUGUAUUAUUUUAAGCAACAUCAUAAUGUUUUAAAUCACUUUGUAACGUACCCCACUGUAUCACAUUAUGUGUUACACUAUUGUAUGUUAUUGUAUCGUACGAUGUCAUAUUAUUGCAUGGCGUCAUAUCCGGUGGUGUUAUAUCUCCUUUAUUGUGCAGUAUGAUAUCAAAUAGUAAGCUAUUGCAUUGUAAUGUAAUGGUUUGGGGUUUUUCAAUGGGGUUUCUUGUUGUAUCCCAUUUUAUUGUAUUGCAUCAUAUAGCCUCCCACAUAGACUGUAUGUACUUUGGACAUCUUGGUUCCGCCUUCCGCCAGUAUACGGAUUAAAAGCCGAAAAGCUCUCAGUAUUUUCGCAAUUUUUCUCCAUUUCUUGAAACCAACAUCACGCAGAAGCGUUGUAUGCACUAAAUCACUUGCACAGUAGGGUGGUACGCAUUUGGCGGGAGAGUCGCCGAGAGUCGCUGUGCCGACGCUUGGCUCAAACAGCGUAUCCCCGGGGUGAGCUAUGCAAUCUCUGUACCCCCAUAGGCUGUAUCAGGUGUCAAUCAUAGAAAACAUGAACCCCCUAAUGACUUUAAAAAUGAAGUUGUGCAGAAAAAAGAGGACUUGAGCACAAACCAGUCUUACUGUAACUACAUGUCAACAUCACAAGCAAGAGGGAGAAAAAUUUAUAUUCUGUGUAAUAAAUUUCUUAAGUUUGUCCACAACUCCAUUAAUUUUGCUGGAGGAGGCGGGAUUUAUGACCUAUACUGCAGCCCGUCACCAGAGGGUGCUGUUCUCACGGUGGCUUCAGCAAGCGAGGAGGCAGACGGCGUCCUUUCUAUAUACAGUUUAUUAGGGGUGGGAGAAAAAUUCAAUUUACAUAAGUAUUGAAAUUUUUUGUUUUACAAUUUAUUUAUUUUUUAUUACAUUUUUUCCAAAUUUAAGAAUAAUCUUAAAAACUGACUUACAUGUGUAUUUUUGGGGGAAAUAUGGUUCCUGGAAUAGUUAGUAGACAAUCAUAAUCAUUCAACUGUUUCACUCUUGUUAAAAAUGCAGACUAAAUAUCGAGAAAAUCGACAAUAUCGUAGAAUCGCAAUUUAAGUCGAAUUGGCACCCAAAACAUCGUACAAAAAUCGAAUCGGGAGAAAAGCAUAUCAUUCCAGCUCUACAGUCUAUGGCCUCCCAUCGUAUUUAUAGAGGUAUCACACUGUAUUGUUUUGUAUUGCAGGGUAUCACAAGAACCAUAGUUUCAUACACUGUUGUAUUGCAGUAGCUGCCAUUGAUCGUAUUGUGUGAUAUCUCAUGUCACUGUAGUCCACGGUUUUGUAUCAUAUCUUAAAAUGGGCUGUACCAUCGUCUCACCUUGAAGACAUUUAGAGCUGGCGAGCCAUCCUCAAUCUGCUCUGGACCCACUUCAACUCUCUAAAAUUAGUUCGGGUGACCAAUUUCUUAAUCUAAUCUUUUCCUAACUUCUAAAUUUUUACUUGAAUCACUUUGAUAAAAGUGUCCUCAAUUAGUAAUUUCUCAAAGAUUGCCUCUGAGGUAUUUCUAAAAUUGGUGCCAGCUCUAUCUUCUCUCAAAAUUAAAUGGGAUACAAAUCUUUUCCCUUUUCACUGACUCCAGGCAGGAACAGGUUUUUCUCAAACAGGCUUUUGAAGCUAAUUAAAUCUUGCCUCCGUGUGCACAGGCCACAGCUGUAUGCUCCUCCGCUUUGGGCAGGAAGAGCAGGGGAGUCGCCCGAAUCCAUCCAUCUUCAUCCUUGUCAAUUAUGCCGUCAGCGGGCCGCACAUCUUCAUUUCCAAUGUGGGCACUGUCUCAAAGUACUUCCCAAAGUCACCGUAAUCCAAUUAUAUUCUGGCAUUCACUGUGAUACAGCCCAUUAGAAAAGGCUUAAUCAAUGUGAGGUCUUCAUUAAAGCAAUUUAUGAAUAUUCAUCAUGACACCCAGUUCGAUAUUUUAUGGGUACUUGAAGCGGACCAUUUCCCCCCAUGGCGCCAUAACAUAACCUGGCUAUAGUUUUAAUGGCAGCUCUUUAAAUGGAGGGGUAAUGCACUCUAUUAUUAGCUAAUAUGAGGCUCUCUCCUCUUGAAACACAAUUAAAUCCUCUGAUGAUACUUCACAGCCGGGGCCGAACACAAAAGGAAAUGUUUAGUAUUAGAGAGGUGUAUUCAGGGCUUUUGACUCUGUGAUGGUCCCACUUAGGUGUCUUCACACUUAUUCUUCAGGGCACUGUGCAUAAAUAGCUAAUUGCUCUGCAGCCCUCAAAUUGGUUCCCUCAACAGAGAAUAACAAACAGCCAAUAACUCAUUCAGAGCCAAGUAUCCAUUACAAGUGCUUUCCCCUUUAUCUAGAGGGAGACCACACACACACACACACACACACACACACACACACACACACACACACACACACACACACAAACAGACUAAACUCAGACUCUGCUUCAAAAGCCACUGCUGAUUUCAGUCCCUUUUUUUCCCCACUUUUAACUUAAUAGACUAAUCCAUCACAAAAAUGCCACACGAGGCAGACCUCACAGAUAAACGGGGCGGUUUCUUGGACUGCAUGUGAAGAAGUUCCUGAUUAUUCGUAGGACUAGCCUAUCAUUAUGGAAAAUAGCUGCCUAAGAACUGACAUCACAGUCUGCGUCGCCGUGUAAUCUCUCUAAUUCGCCGUUUUUAUGAAUAUUUACAAUCAGCCUCUUCUUCUUUUAGUAAUCUCUUUCGUCUUAAAACGCUGCCGGUCCUCGCUGUUAUUACAGUCAUUACGGGUUUAAUUGUCAGCCCUUUAGCUCACCAGUGGGCUCACCUCUGCUCUCUAAUGGAGGGUUUCUGGGAUAUGAUGUUCCUCCAGGGCUGAUAAAAACAGCAGCAGUGAAACAAACACAUAAGACCGCUCUUCAAAAACCGCAAUUCCUGUGGAGAAAAUGAGCAAAACAGCAUCAAAGUAAAAAGGUUCAGUCAGUACAUUUACCUGACCUUUGAAAAGUGAUGAAUCGCAUCGGUCCGACUAAAACCAGACUUUAAAAGACAUGUAAACAUGCUCGUCUGGCUGAAAUUACAUGUGGGUCAAAGUCAGACUAACAUAUCUUUGAGGAUGGAUUUUCAGCUCUACAGUUCACAAGCCAGACUUUGACUUGGACUUCAAGCAGCAUAAAUCCAUAGAGGGAUGUCGGGAAGUAAACAAAAUCUCAACAAAAGUAGGAGGAAAGUAAACAAGAUGAAGCUAUAAACAUGGUCCAGGGAUAUUCCGGCGUCAAAUUAAUUUAGGGUCAAACACAGCCUAACGACAAGUUAGACACCACCUCGAGAGAUGAAUGUUGCUGACCGCUUGCUUCUCUAGUUAUACCAAUUUUAGUAAUGACCGCACGAUAGCAAUACUCACCUUACCAAAACGCCACUCUAUAGCCACAAAUAAUGCUCAGAACAGCACCUAACUUCAUCAACAGUACAUAUAGGGUCCUAGCCAUAGUACUAGUCACCAAACAUCUUUUUAACUUUCUCUAACUUCUUUAGCAAAGAGACCAAACACAGCUCACCUACUCUCUUCCAGCAUGCGCUUGUUUGUAGCGAGAUCUCAGGCCAGUCAAUUACGGACUUUGUCACUUCUUAAUGGAAAUGCAAUCAGACCGAGACGCUAAGGCAAAAGAACUACUGCGUCUGCAGUGCAAAAUGGUUAACAUGAUAAUUAUUACUUAAAGGAAAUGAUAAAAGUUAUGAUCAUGAAUGUUCUUCCCUGAGCUGCGUCACUCCACAGCAGUCCGUAAUGGACUGGCCCAAGGUCUCACUACAAACAACGGGCUGCUGGAAGAGAGUAGGUGACUUUGGCUUUUGUCAUUUAUGGCACCCCCCUGUGGUCACAGCAUUUAUAAGUUGUGACAUACUAACAGGCUUAAGACGUGUGUUUUGGCCAAAAAUUUUAUCCUGCUGACUUUUUACACUCAAAUAUAUCAGUAGUUUUGAAUAUCUUAAGAUGAAAUUGUAAAAAACAUGGCUGACACCUACCCCCCAGCACUGGUUUCAGGCAUCAAAAAUGACUAUAUACAAGUUGUCAAUGUUGUCCCUGGUGGUCUUGCCUGCUUUGGGGUAACAGGUAGCAUCUUUAACAUGAAUUUCACUAUGUUUCAUAAAUGUCAAAAAACUCCUUACAGGUGCUUUAAAUAUGCAUAUAAACAAUUAGAGUUAUUGUGCAGUUUUGGAUUCGGUUCAUGGUAUAAAACCCGCAGGUUCUGGCUCCUGGUUCUUUAUUUCACGUCCUUUGAUUAAAUCUGUAGCGCCCUCAUAUCUACUCCUUUAAAAAGAACGUUGAGCUUGUGUAGUUAGCUUCACAGAAUACAGCUUUGCUUUUUUUCCCCAGAGGUAAAACAAAAUCCAUUUAACAGCACCUCCAAAGCUCUGAUAUUGAGACUUCAUGUCUUUGUUACGCAAAUGCAAAAAUCAAUGAGUGCAAGAAAGUGUGGUUUUAAAUGGGUUUAUCAGGGGAGCUGUUUCUCAUCAGGGAGGCGGUUUUCUCAGAACAGCCAUUGAUUGAGUUUCAUAAUUGAAGUAACUAGAUGUUAUGCUGCUUAUAGGUGAUGAUGCUCUGUUUUUAUGAGCUUUUUGCUGCUAUUUGUUUGAGCUGGGGACUAGGAUUUUUGUUACAUGACCAUUGAAAGAGGGACUUCAGUGUUCAGAGCCAAGCUAGGGCGUCUCUUUGGGUAACUUUCCAUGACGAAAUCAAACAAAGUAAAAAAUUUGAAGCCUCCACUCAUCCAUUAUCUUAUUAAAUUAGGGGUCCUGGAGGGCCACUGGAGCCCAUCCCAGCUGUCAUUAAGCAAAGGGUAGGUCACUGAAAUGUUUUUGAUGCAGGCCAGACUUUGUAAUUCAAACAUUGUGAAUUAAUUAUCAUAGUUUGUCCUCAUACUUGAACCACAGAUUGGAGACUUUCUUGAAAAUGACUCUCAGCAUCUCAGCCGUUAGUCCCAUUUGUCUGCUCUGUGUAAAUGUGCUUUCUGAUUUGUAAUUUGAAAUUCUGGCAGGGAACCACUUAGUCCCCUCAUUUGCAUUUUCAGGCAGAUUUUAAAUGUCAGACAUAAUAAGCUUAACUGUGAUGGUUUUAAAAUAUAGCUUAUUAUGCAAACUAUGUUUGUUCUUCUCUCAGAUCAGAACCUUCCUAUUAAGACCACCGAGCUGCACCCUUCCUCUGCGCUUACCGACUGAUUGGGAUUCAUUCAUUAAAUCUCUGAUCAUUUACGGCAAUUUAUUUCACCCGUUUCCUUUGAAAUGCAUUAAAAAUAAUGAUGAGGAAAUCAUCUAACAAGCACAAAAUAACUCAAACUGCACAAACAGUUUCUUCUUUAUUUGCUUUAAAUAACUCGUAAAGGUAAUGUUUAUCUUUGACACAGUCUGUCCGUCACGCCUGCUCACCAGAGCCUGACGGACAAAGAAAAAAUCUUGUGAGCCUUCAAAUCCGACAAGAUUAAAACAUCCAAACAAACACGUUCUAAAUAUUAGCGACGGCGAUGAAGGGAAGUCAACGCCGAGUUGUUUGAAAUGUCAACAUAUGUGCUUUUUAGUUUACUCUCUCACACGGGGAUCAGACAAAUGUUUACGCAGACGUGACAGUUUGAGACACGCCUAGUAGACCUUUAAUUAAAGAGUUACAUAAAGAGUUUGCAAAAGGAAACUUAAAGCGGUCUUCUUUAAGUUUGGCUUUACUUUAGGAGGCUGUGUUUGACAUCUCUGUCACUUUACUGUCUGUCUUUGAGGACACUUUCACUUCAUUGUUUAUAACACACACACAGACAGUAGAUGGAUUGUGUAUUUUUCAUUACAGCGCCGCAGCUUCAAACUGAUAACACAUGUCGAUGUGUAGUUAGUUUAAUUUAUGCAUUGCUGACAAAUAAAGGACAAUUUAUAGGGAGUCAGAGCGUCAUAAUCUUCUGCAGAAACAGUAAAAGAUGAAGAGCUCCACCUUGUGGACAUAAACCUGAAACACAGCACAAAAUAAAUCAGAGAUGCUGCGUCUUACCUUUAGAUUUGUUACAUUUUGAGCAAACACACAAUUUUUUUUUAUUGUUUGUAUCUUAAUAAUCUUUUUUGACCACCCUUUUGAUUAUAACAGAGUUCAGAAAGUUUAAUCUCAGCAGGCUCUUAGACUGUGAAAAACAUGGACCCACUCUUAGUGACAUUACUCAUGGGUUUGUGAAGUGAGGUUUUGAUAUCCAGGAAACUUUAGGUGGAGUCGAGCCCCUCUGUUGGGCCUUUCGCCUCCUUGUUAAAAGCUCAAGUGUGCCUAUACCUGUCAGAUUAGUCCGCUGUGAAAACUAUGUGAAACUCUUCUCCUAAAUAUCCUCAAAGCUAAUGAAUUAAAAGAUCAUCACCUCCUGUAUAGUGUGCUGAUAGAGAAAUGAACCAUUCAGGCUAAAAUAGAUUUUGAACCAAUCUGUGAGCAUGUUUGUUUUUGCCGUAAACAGACUCUUUAGUAUGAAUGCGUACGCAACUUUGGGAGCUUUUUAGGCCAGCCUCCAGUGGACACUUAAGGAACUACAGUUUGAAGAACUCCAAAUUGGUGUAACAUCCCAAGACAAGAAGAUAAAAGUAAAAAAUGUCUUCAAUAAAGUUUUACCAAAAUAUCUCAUUGGCAAAAACUGAUUUUUUAAAAAUUCUCUGCAGGAACAUGUGUGAAUCAUGGGAAGUGUGGAUGUUUACGUUGCACUCUGUCACUACUGUCCAAUAAAAAAUACACACUAACAUAAUAUCUACAAAACCAGAGAUUCUAGAUUGUUUAAAACCACCAUCUCCCUUGGUCUGGCCCAUAUGUACUCAAAUUUGGCCCAGAACAACCUCAGUAUAAAAAAAGUGUAGCACAUCAACCAAAGUUUGAAAGUAUUGUAAUCUGGUGAUUUUGGCCACUCUAGAAAAAUGCAACAAAUGUAUGAGUUGAAACUAGAAAAGGACUUUAUCGAAUCCCAUCACUUCUGUGUCCACUUUCCUCCACUGGUUUCCUGAGCAUUUUAUAACUGACUUGAAGAUUUGACUGAUUACUUUUAGGUCUUUCCUCAAGUGACAAUAUAGCAGUCCUAGAUCCUCAGGUGGUCUGAGGUGUCGAGUCUCAGAUUGAAAAGGAGAUUAAGCUUUUUUUUUUUUUUUUUUCAUCAGAGCCGCCUGACUUUGGAUCGACCUCCCUGAGGAGAUAUGACGAACUGAAUCAGUGACGUCUCUUAAAUCACUUCUUCUACAGACUUGCUUUUAUAGGAUUCUUAAUUUAACUUUUCUUUCACAUAUUAUUUUAACAUUAUUAAUAAAUUUGUUCAUUCAAAUCCUCUUCUCAUCUUCUACCAUCUUUAAUCGCUUUUGUUUGUGUAGUCCGUCAAUGUUUUUCAAAUCAAGAGGCUAUUUUUUAAAUAAAAGUACUGCAUAUAAGAUUCUGCUUUCCAGUAAAGCUUCUGCACUUGCGAACGACAUCCACUAGAUGGCACUGCCUUCAAAUAGGAUGAGUAUAGUUGCAGGAAGUUGGUUGUUUUCCCUCCUCUCUGAGUUAUGCAUGCUUACAGAAAGUUGCUGACCUUGUGUGCACGCUGUCCUCUCAUUAAGUCUUCAUUAAAUUCUACUCUCUCAUGUAAAUUUUCUCUUAAUUUGAAGUACCAGCCUUUUCAAAGACUAAAAACACGCAGGGAUAAGUUUAGGGAACCGUUUCUAGGAUGAUUAAAAAAAAUUCAUAAUCAAUGGAAAGUGCUUUAGUGUCUCUCAUCAAAACUGAUUUUACCUUCAGAGGGAGAGAGCUGUGAUUAAUCUGCAACACUCUGACAGUCUCAUUUCUGCCGUUGAGAGCAUCCAUCAAAGUGAAAGGUCAAUAGAAAACGAUAAGAACUCUCACAAUAUUCACAGCAAAUCUGUCAUGUGACGAGCUGGAGGAGAGGAGAUUGAAGCUCGGGCUGCACAUCACUCAUCGAUCUGAACGAGCUGCAUGUUCAAAAUUCAGCACAAUAUGAUCGCAGGAGAUAAUUCGGUGACCAUAACUGCUCACUUGUGGGUUUUUUUUCCUCCUGCAGACAAAUCGUUUUCUUGUAUGGAUGCAGAUCCCAUAAAUCAAUGAACUUCCUCAUGCGGUUCUCAUUCCCGCUGUUCAUACAUGAGCGUGCGUGCCGGUUUUUUGUCAAAGUGCAUUGAGUGAUGCUGGAAACGGGCUCUUUAUGGGAGCAUUUGUCUGGAGUCCUAGAUGUGUUCUGCAUGGUGGACUUAGCCUCAGGAAGCGCUGGAGCGUUUCCUGGAGGACGAGCACUCGUGUGCUUAGAAGGUCAAGCACUCGCGCUGGAAAUCAUUAACCGUCCUUUUAUUUGCUCUCAUACUCCGCUUGCUUAUAUCGAUGAGAUCAGAAGUGACAAGGACGUGAAUUUACGGCGUCUUCAGAUCAUUUCGGACUGUUUCAGGUGUGUUUUUGUGUUUCUCUGAGGAGGGGGUGUUGAAUUGAAUUGCAGAUGUCAGUACAGCCGUAACCUCUGCUGCAGAUGCGUGGGGCGACACACAAGGUUAAAGCUGUAUUUGUUGGUGAAAAAUGGCGAAGAAGGCUGUAUAAACCAGUGUGUGUUUAUUAACAUUUUCAACCCGGCUGCCCAUCACUUCUUCCACGGGACCAUUGAAUCAUGUAAUUUCUGUCACGGGUGAAAGAUGAGGGGCUAGCAAGGCGGGACGGCGCGGCGGAUCUCACUAGUUUCACAUGCAUCCAGGUAAGGAGUCUGAAAAUACAGCCACUACAGUCUCUCCUGUGGAUUGGACCACGGAAACUGCCUGGUUGAGAGUCUUUCAUUUCACAUUCAUUAGAAAGGUUCUUAAAUUAAUGAGGCAGUGUCGACCACGCCGUGUGAUAAGAUGCAAUAAACAAGCCAAGGAUAUUUAUGACGCCUGUGUGGAAGUUUAUUACCUACAGUGGAGCUCGUGUCACAGCACAAGUCUCCUACUGUACGAAGGUGUGGAAGGCUUUUCUUCAUACUGCUGCAAACACAAAAGUAUAUACACUCCUUUUCUUUCUUUUCAUAACAGAAGCUGACAGUCACUUUUGACCUUGUUUUGACGGCAAAGAACAAAACAAAACAAUGUUGUUGGUUUUUGCUUCCUCCAAUAUUUUUCUGACACGCUGCUAACGAACAGAUUGGACUAAAUAUGAGCAUCACUCAGAGUAAAACUUUCUGUGCAGCCUCUGAACCAAAACUGUGGCUACAUAUUAGCGCUUUGGCUAUUCACCACUUUGGUUGCUCAGUUUUCCAGUUUUAGUUGUUAGUUGUUCACAUUUUAUCCAUCUUUUUGAAAUCUGGGUUAUGUUUUCAGUUGUUUUAAAGGCAGUAGACCAAACUAUAACAGAACUUCAAUGAGAAAUUGCCUCAUGAAGCUAGUCAACGGUUAACCUGUUGUUUAUUUGGUGAACAGGACUCUCCUCUACACUCUCCUAGCUCACUUUUUAAAGCUUUAUUGGUCUUAUUCUAAACAAAAGAAAAUUUAUGUUACCGACCGCUUGCUUCUCUAGUCGUAUUAACUUUAGUAACAACCACACAAUAGCAAUACACAGCGGUCUGAGGAGCCAUAAACAAACAUCAACUAAAACGCCACUCUAUAGGCACAAAUAAUGCUCAGAACAGCAACUAACUUCCUCACCAGGACAUAUAGGGUCCCAGCCAUAGUACUAGCCACCAAACAUCUUUUUAACUUUGACUAAUUUCUUUAGCAAGGAGACUAAACACAACUCACCUACUCUCUUCCAGCAGCCACUUGUUUAUAGCGAGACCUCAAGCCAGUCCAUUACGGACCAUUUAUGAUAAUUUCUUCAUGGAAAUGCAAUCAGACCGAGAUGCUAAGGCAGAAGAACUACCGUGUCUGCAGUGCAAGAUAAUUAAUAUGAUUAUUAUUACUUCAAGGAAAUGAUAAAGAAAUGAUCAUAAAUGUUCUUCCUUGAGCUGCGUCACCCCGCUGUAGUCUGUAAUGGACUGGCCUGAGGUCUUGCUACAAACAAGCGGCUGCUGGAAGAGAGUAGGUGAGUUGUGUUUAGUCUCUUUGCUAAAGAAAUUAGGCAAAGAUAAAAAGAUGUUUGGUGGCUAGUACAGUGGCUAGGACACUAGAUGUACUGUUGAUGAAGUUAGGUUCUGUUCUGAGUAUUAUUUGUGGCUAUAGAGUGGUGUUUAGGUUGAAGUUUGUUGAUGGCUCCUCAGACCGCUGUGUAUUGCUAUCCUGCUGUCAUUAACAAAGUUGGUAUGACUAGAGAAGCAAGCGGUCAGCAACAUUCAUCUCCUGAUGGGGUGUCUAACUCAGUGUUGCGGUGUGUUAAAUUAAUUUUAUGCCGGAAUAUCCCUUUAACUAGCGAACAGGUCGUAUGUAAUGCCAUGCUGUGGUCUACGUCCUUUUGAAGACGCUGGUAAUCGAAUAUGACCUGAGUGUUUCUAACAUGCUUUCUGAAGGUGUCUUCCUGCAGUUGAAGUCAAGCAUGUACACAAAUAGACGACACAGCGAGUCCAUCUUUGACCUUUAGCCCCUCUGUCUUGCACUCAUCAUGAAACAGCCUCUAAAAACGCCACCGAAUCCAUCUGUUGUUUUCAUCAGCAUCAUAAUGCACGGUUUUGCUUGACUGGUGAGCAUUAGUUGUACUGUACUUUAAACAAUGCAUUGUGGGAUACAAAGGCUUCCCUUUGUAGUGUUCAGUGAUUCUCAGCCAUGACCCGGACAGCGGAAAAAAACACACAACAUAAAAGCUCAUUCGUUGGUAUACGUAUUCUUCUAAAGAAAGAAGAAAAGGCAUUCAACAACAAACUACAACACAAAAUUACACGUAUCAUGUCUGUACAUCAGUUUUGAGAGAUAAUCUGAACGACUUCGAGUGCUUCAAUUAACAGAAAAAAAGAGACUGAGGAAUAAAGAGUAUCUCCUUUACACUUGAGAACAUCUCGAGUCUUUUCAUCCUCUCGUGUUGAAACCACAUCAAUUCAAAAGAAAUGGAAAUGCACUGUAAAGCGCCGUCUUCAGAUGAAUAAAUGGAAUCUGAAGUGAACAAUAUUUUAUGUAAUAGAGACGCCAGAAAAGACGUGAAGCCGUGGAACAUUGUUAUGCAAAUCAAAAGCGGCUGAUAUCAAAAGUAGCUGCGCAUACAGUGUGAAUCUUAUACAAUGAUCUGUGAUGUGAAGAGGAUGACAGCACUGGGUGUGAAAGUACACAACACUUAAGUGUAAUGUGACGAGGCUUCAAAAUCAAUGUGCCUCCUCCUAACUGUCCCUGAUACACACCCAACAAACAAACUUGAUUUGCUCAUGCCCUAAAAUAAUAAUAAUAAUACAUAAUGCAUCAGCGCACGCCACAUAGAUGAUGCCAAGUGUACGUCCCACUUCAUUAAUUCAUCCAUAAUGAGUUUUGCAGCAUGUAGGAGCAACUACCUUAGAGGCAGCCCCAAGAGUCAAAGCUAAUUAAAUCAGCAUCUUAAAUCCCAAUCUACACACAUCUGCCUUUGUUUGCAGAGGGGGAAAAAAAAAACAACAACACAAACCGGCCUCGCUCGCGCAAAAGUUACACAUGUGGACAAGUGGAGACACAAGUCUUCGAACUCUGCGCAGGAGAAAAAAAAGGGACUUUUUUAAAAAAGCUGGAAAAGCUGCAAAAAUCCAAAGGAGAUCCAAGCCAGCAGGGGGCUCUGUUACACAAACUAAUCAGCUAUUGUUAGACGAGUGAGUCAUCGAAUGCCAAAUCAUAUUGAUCUCCAUUAAUCUUUCUCUUUCUCUUUGUUUGUGUGCAAUCUCAAAAGCUGAAAAUGCAGCCUAACACUCUGUUGAAGUGUGAUGUCUUUUGCUAAUUGGUUGGAAGAAGUGUGAUUUACAUUUUUGGGAUUACAGAGAAGAUUUUUAGAAAAGCAGGAGAGUCCUCAUGUUAGUGUGUGUGUGUGUGUGUGUUUGUGUGUGAGGGGGGUGGGGCUAAUCAUCUGUUGUCCGCAGUCACUUCGACCUCCUCGAGGAACUUUAUCAGCAGUGAAGAGCUCUGAUUUGUGAGCCGUCUGGAUCUUCUUCUUCUGAUUAAAAAGGUGCAGAAUCUGAGAUAAUGAGCAGGAAAAGUGACCUUUCCUCUGAGGUGAAGACAGGCCUGAAAAAGAUGAAGAUUUUUCAGCAGCUUUUAUCACAUUCAUUCACUUUUGGCUCAGAAAUGUGUCGAUCAGUAACUCUACCCUGCUUUUCUGUCCAUUCAUGAUCUUGAACACGCUCAAAACAGACUCCAUACAUAUGCAUGCGAAUGUCUCUUUAAUGCACGCUAAGAAAUCCCCCUCAAUUCUUCAUCAGUAAGCAAAAGAAAUAGAGUUUUAAUUCCUUCUCUCCCAGGAGGAGCUCCAAUCUCAUCUCGUAUGCUCCCACAGAACCUCCGAGGUCGUGGAUUAUCUCCGUAAGAGAAGUCGUUUGAGUAACGCUGCUAAAAAACGUCAUAAGUCGUCAUUAAUCAUGAGGAUAUGUCAUGCAUCACACAGAGGUGGUUUGCCACAUCUGGUCUUUAGUCAUAUAUCCUAAUCAUGACUGUAACAGCGCUCCAAAUCCGUCCUCGAAUGCAUUAUUCAAAUUUAGUUCAUUAGAAAAGUCAUUUCAGCCGACAGUUUAGUCCACCUCAGACUUGGAGAGCGGCCCUAAUGACGUUAUGUUUCAUUGCAAUUCUCUUCUCCUGCUCUAGUCAUUUAAUAUAAUUCAUAAUGACAUAUACAUUCGCAAAAUAUAAAAGCAGGCAGAGGAAGUUGGAUAAGGGAAAUUGGAUUGUAGGGGAAGUUUCUGGUGUUUAAAAAGUAACUCGGAUGAGGCAAGUAGGCAAAAGACAAAGGUGUGGGGGAAGUAAGUGAUUAUAUUUACUGUAAUUAGACUUGAAAACACAAUAAGAAAAGUAAGUAAUGAAAGAGAUGACAAACAGUUCCAAAAACAGAGGUCAUCCAGUCAAAAAAAUAACAAGUUUCUUAAACAUACAUAUUCAACAGACCUGAAUGGAAAGACCUUAAGACUUUAUAAAAGGAAAACUAAAGUAACAAUUAAAGCAAAUAUCCGACUCAGACAUAUUUCAAGAUUAAUUAUCCACCAAACUAUCCAAGUAAGUUGAAUGAUUAAUCCAAAGUAAACACGAUGAAGGACAAGUUUUUGUUGAGUUUUUGGCGGGUCAUAAGUUCAGUCCUCUUCAAUCUUUGCUCGUCCUCAUCGUCGUUAGUUUCCUCUCAGCCCCUUUCACACUGACAGUUUAAACCCUGAUUAUUACUGAUGCCUCACUCUAAUAUGAACGCCACAGGGCGUGAUGGUAUCUGUCAUCAGAGGUAGUAACAGAGGUGAUAUAGCUGGAAAUGAUUGGAGGGAUUCUUUACACUGCUGUUGUCAGUGGACACAGGCCCUUUUUCAUGGCAGCUCAAACAAAUGAAAGAACAGAGAAAUGUCUUUCCUUCAAUCAUGAGCCAAAACGAUAGCUUAUUCUUUCCCUGUGUUUAAUUUUUGAUUAUGAUUGGUGACAGAUUAACUUGUUGCAGACUUAUAAAAGCUGACAUGGUGUAAUUGUGCAACAUUUGAGGAGCUAGACAACCAAUUAAAGUCUGAAUGCUCUGUUUUUGGGACUGUCUCUCAAAGCCUUCCGUUUGGAUUGUGUAUUUUCUCUGGAAACUUUCAAUGGGAGGGUUGGUACUAUAAAGCAGAUCAGUGUAAUUAUCCAUCCAAUGAGUUUGACAUUGUUCAACC